rnacentral:lncRNA from 1 species
AUGCCCAAAAGAAAAGCUGAAGGGGAUGCUAAAGGAGACAAAACCCAGGUGAAGGACGAGCCACAGAGAGCUGCAAGGCUGUCUUCUAAACAUGCUCCUCCAAGGCCAGAGCCCAAGCCUAAAAAGGCCCCUGCUAAGAAGGGAGAGAAGGUACCCAAGGGGAAGAAGGGGAAAGCCAAUGCCAGUGAGGAUGCAAAUAAUCCUGCAGAAAAUGGAGAUGCCAAAACAGACCGGGCACAGAAAGUUGAAGGUGCUGGAGAUGCCAAGUGA